AUUGAACGCUGGCGGAAUGCUUUACACAUGCAAGUCGAACGGCAGCACGGACUUCGGUCUGGUGGCGAGUGGCGAACGGGUGAGUAAUGUAUCGGAACGUGCCCAGUCGUGGGGGAUAACGUAGUGAAAAUUACGCUAAUACCGCAUACGAUCUAUGGAUGAAAGCGGGGGAUCGCAAGACCUCGCGCGAAUGUGACGGCGGAUAUCAGAUUAGGUAGUUGGUGGGGUAAAGGCCCACCAAGCCAACGAUCUGUAGCUGGUCUGAGAGGACGACCAGCCACACUGGAACUGAGACACGGUCCAGACUCCUACGGGAGGCAGCAGUGGGGAAUUUUGGACAAUGGGCGAAAGCCUGAUCCAGCCAUUCCGCGUGCAGGAUGAAGGCCCUCGGGUUGUAAACUGCUUUUGUACAGAACGAAAAGGUUUCUACUAAUACUAGGAGCUCAUGACGGUACUGUAAGAAUAAGCACCGGCUAACUACGUGCCAGCCGCCGCAGUAA
rnacentral:rRNA from 1 species